rnacentral:lncRNA from 1 species
UCAAACUUAUACUCAAUCUUUUUAAUAGAAAAAUCUUGUCCACUUACAGACUAUAUAGUGUGCAAUUUCCAAGCACAGACUGUAUAAAUUUUAAUCAAUGGCAUGUUAAAGAACAUUGUAGAUAAAUAAAUUUUUUGAAUUUUCUAUACCUAUAUAAAUAAUCAUAAAUAAAUCUGUUCUUAAACUUGAUAUAGACUUUAUUAUUAAUUAUAUUUGUCAAUUCAAAUUUGGCUUCAAUUUGCCCAGAUAUGUAAGAUAAAUCAUCUGGUAUAUUUCUUUAGCAUGUUCUACUAAGUCAGGCAUGUUCUCUCUUGGAUAAAUUCAUAAUAAACAUCAUGGCCCCACAUAAUAAUGAAACCUGUAAUAUGAGAAUAUGUUCAUAACCCAUGCUUCAACAAGUAAAGUCCCUAAAAAUCAAAUUUCUUUCACUAAUUAAAGUAAUAUGAUUUCACUUCCUUGGAUAAUCUCACUUAUUUGGGAGUGUUAGCCAUAUAAUUCAGCCUCCAGGAAGCUGCGCUCUCAGUGUGGCCAAAGAGCAAAGAUGAAGGACUGGUCAAGUGGAAAGGAUGGAGGCUCUGGGCUGGGAGAAACAUAGCAGAAGUGUAAGACUUCAAAGCUAUCAUGGUUUCACUUGAACGCAAAGUGCUUGGUGUGGUUCUAAGAGACAGUAAUGGAAGCCGAAGGGAGAUGAAAUUCCUUUGAUUUGAAGAGACCAAGGAACUACAAACAUGGAAGUCAUGUAGUUAAUCCAGAGUCAGUAUGAAGGAUGAAACUGACUUGGGCAUGCAAAUCAUUAAUUAACGUGUACCUCCUUAGGAAAUUGUAUAUGGCAGUGAGCAAAAGAAAUAAUGCUGGAUGGUGUGGGAUUUACCACUAGGCAUAAGAGUAAUGGUCCAGAACUAUGCUAUCUGGCAUAGUAGCCACUAGCUUCACGUAGCUACCAAAUACUUGAAUUAUAGCUAGACCAAAUUGAAAUGUGCUGUGACUGUAAAAUACACACCAGCUACUGAAGACCUCAUACAAUAAAAAUGCUGUAAAAUAAGCAUCCAAUUAACAACUUUAUAUUAAUUUCAGGUUAGAAUAAGUAUAUCUAAAAUAAAAUAAGAAUAUUUUAUAUAUACUAGUUAACAUAAAAUAUAUUUGAAUAAAUUUCACCUGGUUCUUUUACUUUUUUUUUUUAUAAGAUGGCUACAGGAAAAUCUAACCUCACCUUUGUGGCUCACAUCUGUGGCUGACGUAUUUUUGUGGACAAGGAUGAUCAAGAAGUUUAAAUAAUUUCACGAAUCAUUAUACUUUUUUCCAACUGAGUGCUGACAUAUGAAAAGUACAGAGCUAGUUUAUUGUUGGUAAGAUUUUGGUACGCAGCCAUAUGAUAUAGUAAGAAAACAUGAAGUUAUUAAAAAGCAGGUGCAUAGUGGUUAGGACAAAAUAUUGGGAAUGAGUUUCUUUUCUUCCCAGGUUCUGGAUUUAGGUUGCUGUGGGAUUAUAAAAUCUGAUGGUGAAACUACAAUUCACACUCUUCUACUGACCCCCAUUCCUUUCCUUUGUCCCCAGUAAGUUCCUUCUUAGAUUCUUUCAUACCUGAGAAGAAAUGUCAAGCUGGGUCACAGAUCAUAUAACAGGUAAUUUUAUAUAUUAAUUGGAUUAAUUAAACAAUUUUUAAAAUAACAUAUAACAAUUUUAAAAAUAACUAUGUAUAUAUCCCCUAAUUUAUCUGAUGUAAUAGAAUUCAUGUGUGUCUGGUUUGGGACACUAGCUAAUCUUAAACUGCAACCUCUAACACAACCAGUGUUUAAAAACCACUCCCACAAUGACCACUCAUGGCUUGCAUUCAUGAAGGAUAGGACACGGCUCCUUUCCCAAUUACUCAAACUUGUUUUCUCUUGGCAUAUCUUUUUCCAUAUUAAAAACAAAGUAUGGUUUCUAAAAAUAAUAAAUUCAAAGAACAUAUUUUUGAAGCAGUCACCUUUCUCUCAAUUAUGUGGUGACAUAAUUAACCUUUAGAAAUGGAUACUGAUAAAACAAGGCAUGCUAAGAAUGCAAAGUAAUACACAGCAUCAAUUUAAGAGCAGGCCAAGGAGAAUCAGGGGCCAAAGAGAAAACAGUGGUAGUAAAACAAUCUGAAGCUAAGGAAAAACUUCACAAUAGCACAUAAUUUCAUCAUUGUGAGAGGUAGGCCAAAUAUUUGGCAAUGAGCUUUAAUAGCCAACAGAGAAAAGAGGAAACACGAUAUCAGGAAGUAGUCAUAGGGAUCAUGAGAGAAGAAUAAACCAGUUACUUUGGCACACUAUGUAAUUUCCUAAUAGUGAACCUGAAAAAAAAAAUUGCACUGUGGUUCUUUAAAAAGAACAAGUGAGGAGUGCCUAGGUGGCUCAGUUGGUUAAGUGUCUGCCUUCAGC